CCAAACAAAACACCAAACUGACUUUCAGUGAACAAAUCAGCGAAUAGAUUCAGCAAACUGAUUCAGCGAACUGACAAAAAUCUGCAGGGCUUUUAUUGAGAAAAUACAAGGCUAUAUCAGUUAUCCAGCCUGUUUUUUUCUUCUUCUUCUUAUGAUCUGGUAUUAACAAAAGCAAAUACACAUAUUCAGGUUACUUAUGAAGGUUUUCAAACUUCUUAGGUGGAAGCUCUAGGUCCAUGUCUAGACCAACUUACAAGUUUUGAUGUCGUGGAAGAGCCAAAGGACUCGGUCACUGUGAACUGUGUUGCGGGCAGU